rnacentral:rRNA from 1 species
UACGGUGAAUACGUUCCCGGACCUUGUACACACCGCCCGUCAAGCCAUGGAAGCCGGGUGUACUUAAAGUCGGUAACCGCAAGGAGCCGCCUAGGGUAAAACUGGUGACUGGGGCU